UACGUAGGGGGCAAGCGUUGUCCGGAAUCAUUGGGCGUAAAGCGCGUGUAGGCGGUCCGGUAAGUCCGCUGUGAAAGUCGGGGGCUCAACCCUCGGAUGCCGGUGGAUACUGUCGGGCUUGAGUACGGAAGAGGCGAGUGGAAUUCCUGGUGUAGCGGUGAAAUGCGCAGAUAUCAGGAGGAACACCGGUGGCGAAGGCGGGAUCCUGGGCCAGUACUGACGCUGAGGAGCGAAAGCGUGGGGAGCAAACAGG
rnacentral:rRNA from 1 species